rnacentral:rRNA from 1 species
UACGGAGGGUGCUAGCGUUGUUCGUAAUUACUGGGCGUAAAGGGCGCGUAGGCGGCCGUUUGCGUCGGAUGUGAAAGCCCGGGGCUCAACCUCGGAACGGCAUUCGAUACGGGACGGCUGGAGACCGGGAGAGGAGAGUGGAAUAGCCAGUGUAGAGGUGAAAUUCGUAGAUAUUGGGAAGAACACCGGUGGCGAAGGCGGCUCACUGGCUCAUUUCUGACGCUCAGGCGCGACAGCGUGGGGAGCGAACAGG